ensembl:snRNA U6 U6 spliceosomal RNA
AUGCUUACUUCAGUAGCACAUAUAUUAAAAUUGGAAUAGUACAGAGAAGAUUAUCAUGGUCCCUCUGCAAGAAUGUACAUAAAUUUGUGAAGUAUUCCAUAUUUUU